UACGUAGGGUGCGAGCGUUAAUCGGAAUUACUGGGCGUAAAGCGUGCGCAGGCGGUUCGCUAAGACAGGUGUGAAAUCCCCGGGCUUAACCUGGGAACUGCGCUUGUGACUGGCGGGCUAGAGUACGGCAGAGGGGGGUGGAAUUCCACGUGUAGCAGUGAAAUGCGUAGAGAUGUGGAGGAACACCGAUGGCGAAGGCAGCCCCCUGGGCCGAUACUGACGCUCAUGCACGAAAGCGUGGGGAGCAAAC
rnacentral:rRNA from 1 species